AGGCACAUGUCUGACCUCAGUCAAUGUCCUCACAAUACCAUCAAACAUCUUGAUUUUGACAUUCUCAAUCCCGACUGUUCUGCACUCUGAGCUAUUCCCCAUGAGACAUGGCCACCAUCACACACCAUGUUGGUGUCAAACCACUUCCUGUGCAGACACAUAUGAUAGGAACAUGCUGAAUCAAGAAUCCAAGCAUCGACAGAAUCAAUACCUAAGGAGAC
rnacentral:lncRNA from 1 species